rnacentral:lncRNA from 1 species
AUGCAGGAUCUGUGCUCUUAUCAAAGCCCAGUUUGGAGAAACAUGUACCUGAGUAAGGGACACAAACAGGACUCCUCCUUCAGGGACAGCUACAGGAGAACAAACCCUUUAAAAGCCAGAUCAGGAAGAUGGGACCAUUGCCCCACAUUCAGGCAUUUCCUGGUGCUUGUGGCAGCCACCUUCUGUGGUGGCUCUGAAAGCGUUCUCUUUCCUCCCUGGUUCCUCUUCCUCCCCGCUCGCCUGUGGCAGCAUCCUCCUGGGCUCCUGCAGCCCCCUCCGUCCCCUCCGCUGUCUGAGGAUCCCUUCUCUCCCCUCUCGGGCUGCCUGCACCUCCUGCCACCCGGGAGGAGAAGUGGCAGGUUUGGGGCAGAACAGCAGCAAAAUGUUCCCCAGCACACCCCAAAUCCUCCAAAACCCUGCCAUUCAUACUUCUCAUUGCAGUCCCAGGCUCCAUUCUCACAGUACCUAACUCUCCUCCUUUCCUGGGCUGGUAUGUUUUUUGCUGAAUUCAUCUUUUUACAGUUUAUUGAGCUGCACGAGCUCUGGCAAGCCCCAGCCCUGCACAGAGAGGCAGCAGGGCCAGCAGCAGUGUCCCUUUUUAUCCCGCAGUCCAUGAGGUCUGGCUCCGCUGCCAUGCAGCAUCACUCCCUAAAUCCAGUUUUGUCUGUGGAACAGGGAGGUUUGACGACGCUGCUGAGAAGCUUCAGACUCUUCUCUUGCCUUUGCCAUCCUUUGCUGCACUUUGGUCUGGAAAAAUGCAGGACAAAAAUAGUCACAAGGGCAGCGUCUCCCUCGCACACAGACGGCAGGAGCCGGGCAGAGGGAGGCAGGAGCCUUCCUCGGGAGGAGCGCCCGGCACAGCCCGGGGACAGCACCUCACCCACCCCAACACCCCGGAUCCUGCCCCUCGGUGCUGGUCUCCCCAACACCCCGGAUCCUGCCCCUCGGUGCUGGUCUCUCCCCAGCACCAAACCAGCCACCGCCGCGCUGGAGGGACUUUCUGUGCAGCUGCAGCGAGGGUGGGAGGCAGCCCCGCGGCGAAGGACAGAAGUAUCUCGCUGUGUUUGUUUUGUGAUGUGGUCCCAUCAUUUACACUGCUGAAUUAACAAAAAUAACAAGCCAGAAGCUUUCCAAGUGGGAUCCAUUGCUGACUGUUCCUUCGCUGCUCUAUUCUUACUCCACUUACACCAGGAAGAGCACAUUAUCUGAUAAAUCGAGACAUGAGAAGCAAAUAAAGGCCUUUAUAUCAUAAGGAUAAAAAAACCU